GAUGAACGCUGGCGGCGUGCCUAAUACAUGCAAGUCGAGCGAACAGACGAGGAGCUUGCUCCUCUGACAUUAGCGGCGGACGGGUGAGUAACACGUGGAUAACCUACCUAUAAGACUGGGAUAACUUCGGGAAACCGGAGCUAAUACCGGAUAAUAUAUUGAACCGCAUGGUUCAAUAGUGAAAGACGGUUUUGCUGUCACUUAUAGAUGGAUCCGCGCCGCAUUAGCUAGUUGGUAAGGUAACGGCUUACCAAGGCAACGAUGCGUAGGCGACCUGAGAGGGUGAUCGGCCACACUGGAACUGAGACACGGUCCAGACUCCUACGGGAGGCAGCAGUAGGGAAUCUUCCGCAAUGGGCGAAAGCCUGACGGAGCAACGCCGCGUGAGUGAUGAAGGUCUUCGGAUCGUAAAACUCUGUUAUUAGGGAAGAACAAAUGUGUAAGUAACUAUGCACGUCUUGACGGUACCUAAUCAGAAAGCCACGGCUAACUACGUG
rnacentral:rRNA from 1 species